rnacentral:lncRNA from 1 species
CCGAUCGUCGCCACUCCAGGUAAGUGUGUGUGUGUGUGCUGUGAUGAGUGAAUGAUGUAAUGAAAUUAUUUUUGAAUGUGUUUUAUUUUGAAUAAUUUCUCUCUCUGUGUUUGUUUGGAGGUGAUUGAACAAGUAUUUGUUGAGACAUGGAACGAUUGUCACUCUCAUCUUUGGAUUGUUUAUUUUGAUAAGCUUUGGAUUCUGUUCAUUUAUUUCAAGUUUAUUCUGUGGGUCAUUAUGUUCCGAGGCAAUACGCUUGGGUUCUGUUAUUUCCUUCAUAUGCUAAUUUCCCAAAUUCAUGUUCUGUUAACUGCUAUCAAUUUAUAAUGCUGACUUUGCCGCGGGAUGCCAUGUUAAUUAGUUUCACUCGGUUGAUAAUCAGAUGUAAUGUUCUGUCCAGUUAUUUCUCGCAAAUGAGUGUGGAAAAAAUAAAAUUGUUAUCAAUCCUUUUGUCCUAAAGACUUAGUGAAUAGUAUGGGGAAGUCAUUGUAUGCUUGUCUUUCAGUUUUUGUGGUUCUGUAAAUUUGAGGUUGUUUUGAACUGAUUAUAUACUUCUGUUGCUGGCAAGGACCCUAUAAAAAUAUUAAAAACUUGCCAUUGCUAUGUAAAUUUGACGUUGUUUUGAGUUUAGAGAUUCAAUAGCAUUUUUGUUUGCACUGUCUUGGGCAAUUUAAAGAGUAAUAAUAAUAAGAUCAAAAUAGUUAAAAGGGUAAGAUGUUCAUUAGUUAUUUUCCAUUGGGUUGUCUUGCUCCAAUUUAAUUAAAAUUAAGUAGUAAUAAUACAAGUUAAAUAUUUAAAAGGGGUAAGAGGCUCAAUAUAUGUUUUCCUUUGGAUUGUCUUUCUCCAAUCCAGUUAAAACUUAAAAAAAUAAUAACAAUAAUAAAAAUAAAAUAAGAAAUAAAAGAGUUAAGAGUUUCAAUAGGCGUUUUCCUUUGGAUCACCUUUUCUCUAAUUUAAUUUUUCUACCCUAAUUUAAUUCAAAUCUCGACCUCAAUUUAAGUCAAAUACUUAAGAGGUCAAAUAGGCAUUUUUCUUUGAAUCAUCUUGAUUUUAAAUAUUUCAGACUUAGUUAAGGGGUCCAAUACUGUUUUCCUUUGGACCUUCUUCACUCUAAAUUAAUUAAUUAAUUAAUUAAUAAAAUUAAAUAUUUUAAAAUAAGUUAAGCGCUUUAAUAGGCGUUUUCCAUGGAACCAUCUUUACUCUAAUUUAAUUAAAAUUUGAGAAAAUGUCUAUAAAAAUCUCAGACUUUGCAUUUUUUUACGCUUGUAUGCUUAACAUUUUUUUUUCGACAAAAAUACCCUAUACUAAUAAUAUUUUUACAAUCGUACUAUUUGUUUAUAUUCUCAUAUUCAACAUUAGAAACCCCGGAUUAGUAAACAAAAACCCUAAAUAGAGUUGUCGCACCAAUAUAACAAUAAAACUCAAUAAAAAAUUAUAAUAAUUAAAUAUAAAUUAAUUAUAUUAUUGAUAUCUAUAAAAAAAUAAAAAAUAAUUUAACUUAUUAUUAAAUAUAUUUGAAAUUUUAUUGUUAUAUUUAUCUAAUUAACUUUAUUAACUUAUUAAAAUUCACAGUAUAUUUAAUGAAAUUUAGAAUAUAAUUUAUUUUUAAUUUUUUGAAUAAAUUAUUAAUAGUUUAGUAUAACUAAUUUACGUUUAAUUAUUAUAAUUUUUAUAAAUUUAAGUGUUAAAUAUGUUAUAAUUCUAAUUUAAAUGUUUAAUAAAUUAAUAGCAACUAAUACAAAAUAUUCAGCCAUUUAUUUAUGUCCAUCACACAGAGUUCUUUUAUUCAUAAAUACUUAUAUAUUGGUUGUCUUUAUUGUUAAUUGAAACUAAUGGACAAUUAUUUUUUCAGAUGCCUCGAAGAGUAAUAUCAUCUAGAGGUAGAGGACAUAGCCAGCAGCUCUCUACGAAUGAAACAGAUGAGCCAGUAAGAUGCAAGAGGAAACACUGGAGCACACUCCAGCAGCAUUAGAGGGACAAGCAAACGCAUCAUCAUCAUCAUCAGUUCGAACUAGAGGUCCGAACUUGGGACAUCCUAUCCCAUCAAACCCGUCUGAUCGACAAUUGAUCAGAUUGAAACAAGAGCAAAUGCGAGUGCAGAUAGAAAAGCAAAUAAAAGAUCAGAUGAAAUCAUUGAAGAACAAAAAAAGAUCUUCACCGCAUAAUCCAACUGCAGAUUGUAUUUCUCUAUCAGAUGGUUCAACAAAUUCAUAGAUUAGUUUUUAGUUUUAUGAACAUUGUUAAGUAUAAUUGAUUUAUUUUAAAUUUUAUGACGAUUGUUAAGUAUUAUGAAUUUAUUUUUAAUUUUA